GUGAACGCUGGCGGUAGGCCUAACCCAUGCCAGUCGCACGGCAGCACAGUAAGAGCUUGCUCUUACGGGUGGCGAGUGGCGGACGGGCGAGGAAUACAUCGGAAUCUACUUUUUCGUGGGGGAUAACGUAGGGAAACUUACGCUAAUACCGCAUACGACCUACGGGUGAAAGCAGGGGAUCUUCGGACCUUGCGCGAUUGAAUGAGCCGAUGUCGGAUUAGCUAGUUGGCGGGGUAAAGGCCCACCAAGGCGACGAUCCGUAGCUGGUCUGAGAGGAUGAUCAGCCACACUGGAACUGAGACACGGUCCAGACUCCUACGGGAGGCAGCAGUGGGGAAUAUUGGACAAUGGGCGCAAGCCUGAUCCAGCCAUACCGCGUGGGUGAAGAAGGCCUUCGGGUUGUAAAGCCCUUUUGUUGGGAAAGAAAAGCAGCAGGUUAAUACCCCGCUGUUCUGACGGUACCCAAAGAAUAAGCACCGGCUAACUUCGUG
rnacentral:rRNA from 1 species